rnacentral:rRNA from 2 species
AACGAACGCUGGCGGCAUGCCUAACACAUGCAAGUCGAACGAAGGCUUCGGCCUUAGUGGCGCACGGGUGCGUAACGCGUGGGAACCUGCCCCUCGGUUCGGAAUAACAGUUAGAAAUGACUGCUAAUACCGGAUGAUGACUUCGGUCCAAAGAUUUAUCGCCGAGGGAUGGGCCCGCGUAGGAUUAGCUAGUUGGUGGGGUAAAGGCCUACCAAGGCGACGAUCCUUAGCUGGUCUGAGAGGAUGAUCAGCCACACUGGGACUGAGACACGGCCCAGACUCCUACGGGAGGCAGCAGUGGGGAAUAUUGGACAAUGGGCGAAAGCCUGAUCCAGCAAUGCCGCGUGAGUGAUGAAGGCCUUAGGGUUGUAAAGCUCUUUUACCAGGGAUGAUAAUGACAGUACCUGGAGAAUAAGCUCCGGCUAACUCCGUG